CCUACGGGGGGCAGCAGUGAGGAAUAUUGGUCAAUGGGCGCGAGCCUGAACCAGCCAAGUCGCGUGAGGGAAGACGGUCCUAUGGAUUGUAAACCUCUUUUGUCGGGGAGCAAAAGACGCCACGCGUUGCGUUCCGAGAGUACCCGAAGAAAAAGCAUCGGCUAACUCCGUGCCAGCAGCCGCGGUAAUACGGAGGAUGCGAGCGUUAUCCGGAUUUAUUGGGUUUAAAGGGUGCGCAGGCGGAAGAUCAAGUCAGCGGUAAAAUUGAGAGGCUCAACCUCUUCGAGCCGUUGAAACUGGUUGUCUUGAGUGAGCGUGAAGUAUGCGGAAUGCGUGGUGUAGCGGUGAAAUGCAUAGAUAUCACGCAGAACUCCGAUUGCGAAGGCAGCAUACCGGCGCGCAACUGACGCUGAUGCACGAAAGUGUGGGUAUCGAACAGGAUUAGAUACCCGAGUAGUC
rnacentral:rRNA from 1 species